rnacentral:rRNA from 1 species
UACGUAGGUGGCAAGCGUUAUCCGGAUUUAUUGGGCGUAAAGGGAACGCAGGCGGUCUUUUAAGUCUGAUGUGAAAGCCUUCGGCUUAACCGGAGUAGUGCAUUGGAAACUGGGAGACUUGAGUGCAGAAGAGGAGAGUGGAACUCCAUGUGUAGCGGUGAAAGGCGUAGAUAUAUGGAAGAACACCAGUGGCGAAAGCGGCUCUCUGGUCUGUAACUGACGCUGAGGUUCGAAAGCGUGGGUAGCAAACAGG